CCUAUUUCUGUUUUCUGACGAAACGUCAAGUCCCAGCUGCGCAUCCUGAGAAAGCCUAACGUACUCCUCGCCUGAGUUUGUGAUUGUGAACAUCGCAAAAUCUACACUCAGCAUCCGCGGCCUGCGCUAAUGUCUGUGAGGUGCUGUGAAAUGGCUGUAAUGCAUCGCAUGCUUUGGCAACAGGUCACAGAAUAUGUCUAUACCAGCUUUUA